CAAAAAUUAACAUAAGAUGAAUGUGUCUCACUUACGUUGAGAAGAUGAUUUAUUAUAAAUUGUUUUUGA
rnacentral:tRNA from 1 species